UACGUAGGUGGCAAGCGUUGUCCGGAAUUAUUGGGCGUAAAGCGCGCGCAGGCGGUCCUUUAAGUCUGAUGUGAAAGCCCACGGCUCAACCGUGGAGGGUCAUUGGAAACUGGGGGACUUGAGUGCAGGAGAGAAGAGUGGAAUUCCACGUGUAGCGGUGAAAUGCGUAGAGAUGUGGAGGAACACCAGUGGCGAAGGCGGCUUCCUGGACCGACACUGACGCUGAGGCGCGAAAGCUAGGGGAGCAAACGGG
rnacentral:rRNA from 1 species